UGGGGAAUUUUGGACAAUGGGCGCAAGCCUGAUCCAGCAAUGCCGCGUGCAGGAUGAAGGCCUUCGGGUUGUAAACCGCUCUUGUCAGGGAAGAAACGAGUUUCUCUAAUACAGAGACUUAAUGACGGUACCUGAAGAAUAAGCACCGGCUAACUACGUGCCAGCAGCCGCGGUAAUACGUAGGGUGCAAGCGUUAAUCGGAAUUACUGGGCGUAAAGCGUGCGCAGGCGGUUAUAUAAGACAGAUGUGAAAUCCCCGGGCUCAACCUGGGACCUACAUUUGUGACUGUAUAGCUAGAGUACGGUAGAGGGGGAUGGAAUUCCGCGUGUAGCAGUGAAAUGCGUAGAUAUGCGGAGGAACACCGAUGGCGAAGGCAAUCCCCUGGACCUGUACUGACGCUCAUGCACGAAAGCGUGGGGAGCAAACA
rnacentral:rRNA from 1 species